rnacentral:rRNA from 1 species
AUAGUAACCUUUAAUCCAACAUCGAGGUCGCAACCAUUUUUAUCGAUUAGAGCUCUCCAAAAAUAUUACGCUGUUAUCCCUAAGGUAAUUUAAUCUUAUAAUCAUAACACAUGGAUCAAUUAAACAUAAAUCAAUGAUACAAAUAUUUAAAGUUUAUUAAAUUUAAUAAUCACCCCAACUAAAUAAGCCCAAAAAUAUAAAUAAUUAGAUACUAAAAAACUAUAAUAAUCAAACUUAUAAAACUCUAUAGGGUCUUCUCGUCUUUUAUAUAAAUUUAAGCUUUUUUACUUAAAAAUAAAAUUCUAUAAAAUUAACAAUGAGACAGUUAUUUUCUCAUGAAACCAUUCAUACAAGUUCCUAAUUAAGAAACUAAUGAUUAUGCUACCUUUGUACAGUCAAAAUACUGCAGCCAUUUAAAUUUUCACUGGGCAGGCCUGACCUUAAAUAAUUAACAAAAAGCC